GACGUAGGGCGCGAGCGUUGUCCGGAUUUAUUGGGCGUAAAGAGCUCGUAGGCGGCUUGUCGCGUCUGCUGUGAAAACUGGAGGCUCAACCUCCAGCCUGCAGUGGGUACGGGCAGACUAGAGUGCGGUAGGGGAGAUUGGAAUUCCUGGUGUAGCGGUGGAAUGCGCAGAUAUCAGGAGGAACACCGAUGGCGAAGGCAGAUCUCUGGGCCGUAACCUGACGCUGAGGAGCGAAAGCAUGGGGAGCGAACAGG
rnacentral:rRNA from 1 species